rnacentral:tRNA from 1 species
GAGGGUUGGCUGAGCGGUCGAAAGCGGCGGUCUUGAAAACCGUUGUGGGUUUGCGCCCACCGGGGGUUCGAAUCCCUCACCCUCC